GCUGGGUGUGGUGAUGCACACCUGUAAUCCCAGCUACCCGGGAGGUUGAGGCAGGAGAAUCGCUUGAACCCAGGAGGUGGAGGCUGCAGUGAGCCAAUAUUCCACCACUGUCCUCCAGCCUGGGUGCCAGAGUGAGACUCUGUCUCAA
ensembl:misc_RNA Metazoa_SRP Metazoan signal recognition particle RNA